CCUACGGGCGGCUGCAGUGGGGAAUAUUGGGCAAUGGAGGCAACUCUGAUCCAGCAACGCCGCGUGAAUGAUGAAGGUCUUCGGAUUGUAAAGUUCUGUGAUGGGGGAUGAACACAAUGACGGUACCCCAAUAGCAAGCCACGGCUAACUACGUGCCAGCAGCCGCGGUACUACGUAGGUGGCAAGCGUUAUCCGGUAUGACUGGGAGUAAAGGGUGCGUAGGUGGUUUAGUAAGUUGGCGGUGAAAUUCCGGGGCUCAACCUCGGGGCUACCGCCAAAACUAUUAGACUGGAGUGCAGGGGGGGUAAGUGGAAUUCCUAGUGUAGCGGUGGAAUGCGUAGAUAUUAGGAGGAACAUCAGGGGCGAAGGCGACUUACUGGACUGUAACUGACGCUGAGGCACGAAAGCGUGGGGAGCAAACAGGAUUAGAUACCCCUGUAGUC
rnacentral:rRNA from 1 species